rnacentral:rRNA from 1 species
AAGACCUUGCGCCUUUGGAGCGGCCGAUGCCUGAUUAGCUUGUUGGUAAGGUAAAAGCUUACCAAGGCUUCGAUCAGUAGCUGGUCUGAGAGGACGGCCAGCCACACUGGGACUGAGACACGGCCCAGACUCCUACGGGAGGCAGCAGUGGGGAAUUUUGGACAAUGGGGGCAACCCUGAUCCAGCCAUGCCGCGUGAGUGAAGAAGGCCUUCGGGUUGUAAAGCUCUUUCAGCCGGAACGAAACGGUUACGGUUAAUACCCGUGAUUACUGACGGUACCGGAAGAAGAAGCACCGGCUAACUACGUGCCAGCAGCCGCGGUAAUACGUAGGGUGCGAGCGUUAAUCGGAAUUACUGGGCGUAAAGCGUGCGCAGGUGGUUUUGUAAGUCAGAUGUGAAAGCCCCGGGCUCAACCUGGGAACU